CACAGCCAGCUCCUGAGUGAGUGGACUCAUCUGAAGGAAAAAGUGAGCAUCUUGAGAGAGGAGAACUGAAAGCUGAGGGGGGAGCAGAUUUCACUACAAGAGUCCUGUGAGGAGCUGAGGAGGCUCUGUGAGGAGGCCCAGGAGAAGAUCUAUAACCUCUGGGCCAAGGAAAAGCAGAAACAGGAAAGAUUGGAGGAGAGACUAAAAUACCUGCUGAAGCAGAGAGAUCUGGUCACCAAGCACAAGGUCUUGGCAGAAAAUCUGCAGCAUUACUUCACUGUCUCCCAGAUGAGCACCACUUAAGAGAACUCCACUCUAGCAUCAACACCUCCUCAACAAAAGACAUCUUGUAGCUGUGAACUAACCAGUGAGGAAAAUCUCAACCUACCAGCAAAGGAUCCAUGUGUCUGUUGGUGCAUUAUUCCAGGAGAAAAUAAAUCAUCAGAAAGAAGCUUGUGCUACAGAGGACCUGCCAAGAUUACUCAGAACCCAGAAAUCAAUUAACAAGUGGCCCUCAAA